rnacentral:rRNA from 1 species
UACGUAGGGGGCAAGCGUUGUUCGGAAUUACUGGGCGUAAAGCGCGCGUAGGCGGGUCGUUAAGUCGGGGGUGAAAUCCUGGAGCUCAACUCCAGAACUGCCUUCGAUACUGGCGAUCUUGAGUCCGGGAGAGGUGAGUGGAACUCCGAGUGUAGAGGUGAAAUUCGUAGAUAUUCGGAGGAACACCAGUGGCGAAGGCGGCUCACUGGUCCAUUACUGACGCUGAGGUGCGAAAGCGUGGGGAGCAAACAGG